GUUGGGUAGGGGAGCGUUCUGUAAGCCUGUGAAGGUGGCCUGUGAGGGUUGCUGGAGGUAUCAGAAGUGCGAAUGCUGACAUAAGUAACGAUAAAGCGGGUGAAAAGCCCGCUCGCCGGAAGACCAAGGGUUCCUGUCCAACGUUAAUCGGGGCAGGGUGAGUCGACCCCUAAGGCGAGGCCGAAAGGCGUAGUCGAUGGGAAACGGGUUAAUAUUCCCGUACUUGGUGUUACUGCGAAGGGGGGACGGAGAAGGCUAUGUUGGCCGGGCGACGGUUGUCCCGGUUUAAGCGUGUAGGUGUGUGUUCCAGGUAAAUCCGGUUCACUUUAACACUGAGGCGUGACGACGAGGCACUACGGUGCUGAAGCAACAAAUGCCCUGCUUCCAGGAAAAGCCUCUAAGCAUCAGGUAACAUCAAAUCGUACCCCAAACCGACACAGGUGGUCAGGUAGAGAAUACCAAGGCGCUUGAGAGAACUCGGGUGAAGGAACUAGGCAAAAUGGUGCCGUAACUUCGGGAGAAGGCACGCUGACACGUAGGUGAAGUGAUUUACUCAUGGAGCUGAAGUCAGUCGAAGAUACCAGCUGGCUGCAACUGUUUAUUAAAAACACAGCACUGUGCAAACACGAAAGUGGACGUAUACGGUGUGACGCCUGCCCGGUGCCGGAAGGUUAAUUGAUGGGGUCAGCGCAAGCGAAGCUCCUGAUCGAAGCCCCGGUAAACGGCGGCCGUAACUAUAACGGUCCUAAGGUAGCGAAAUUCCUUGUCGGGUAAGUUCCGACCUGCACGAAUGGCGUAAUGAUGGCCAGGCUGUCUCCACCCGAGACUCAGUGAAAUUGAACUCGCUGUGAAGAUGCAGUGUACCCGCGGCAAGACGGAAAGACCCCGUGAACCUUUACUAUAGCUUGACACUGAACAUUGAGCCUUGAUGUGUAGGAUAGGUGGGAGGCUUUGAAGUGUGGACGCCAGUCUGCAUGGAGCCGACCUUGAAAUACCACCCUUUAAUGUUUGAUGUUCUAACGUGGACCCGUGAUCCGGGUUGCGGACAGUGUCUGGUGGGUAGUUUGACUGGGGCGGUCUCCUCCUAAAGAGUAACGGAGGAGCACGAAGGUUGGCUAAUCCUGGUCGGACAUCAGGAGGUUAGUGCAAUGGCAUAAGCCAGCUUGACUGCGAGCGUGACGGCGCGAGCAGGUGCGAAAGCAGGUCAUAGUGAUCCGGUGGUUCUGAAUGGAAGGGCCAUCGCUCAACGGAUAAAAGGUACUCCGGGGAUAACAGGCUGAUACCGCCCAAGAGUUCAUAUCGACGGCGGUGUUUGGCACCUCGAUGUCGGCUCAUCACAUCCUGGGGCUGAAGUAGGUCCCAAGGGUAUGGCUGUUCGCCAUUUAAAGUGGUACGCGAGCUGGGUUUAGAACGUCGUGAGACAGUUCGGUCCCUAUCUGCCGUGGGCGCUGGAGAACUGAGGGGGGCUGCUCCUAGUACGAGAGGACCGGAGUGGACGCAUCACUGGUGUUCGGGUUGUCAUGCCAAUGGCACUGCCCGGUAGCUAAAUGCGGAAGAGAUAAGUGCUGAAAGCAUCUAAGCACGAAACUUGCCCCGAGAUGAGUUCUCCCUGAGACUUAGAGUCUCCUGAAGGAACGUUGAAGACGACGACGUUGAUAGGCCGGGUGUGUAAGCGCAGCGAUGCGUUGAGCUAACCGGUACUAAUGAACCGUGAGGCUUAACCUU
rnacentral:rRNA from 2 species